GAGUUUGAUCCUGGCUCAGAACGAACGCUGGCGGCGUGCCUAACACAUGCAAGUCCAACGUGAAAGGGGAGCAAUCCCCCGGUAGGGUGGCAAACGGGUGAGUAAUACAUGGGCGAUCUACCUUAGGGAUGGGGAUAUCCUUCCGAAAGGAGGGGCAAUACCGAAUAUUGUCCGGAGCCGUGAAGGGUUCCGGGGAAAGGGAGGCCUCUGAUACAAGCUUUCGCCUUAAGAUGAGCCCAUGGCCCAUCAGCUAGUUGGUAGGGUAAAGGCCUACCAAGGCUACGACGGGUCGCUGGUCUGAGAGGACGACCAGCCACACUGGCACUGAGAUACGGGCCAGACUCCUACGGGAGGCAGCAGUGAGGAAUAUUGCGCAAUGGGGGAAACCCUGACGCAGCAACGCCGCGUGUGGGAAGAAGGCCUUCGGGUCGUAAACCACUUUUGCACGGGACGAAAAAGGGAUAUCGAACAAAUAUCCCCGAUGACAGUACCGUGAGAAUAAGCCACGGCUAACUCUGUGCCAGCAGCCGCGGUAAGACAGAGGUGGCAAGCGUUGUUCGGAAUUACUGGGCGUAAAGAGUCUGUAGGUGGUUUGUCAAGUCUUUGGUGAAAGGCCGUAGCUUAACUAUGGGAAUGCCAAAGAGACUGGCAGGCUGGAGGCUGGGAGAGGGAAGCGGAAUUUCUGGUGUAGCGGUGAAAUGCGUAGAUAUCAGAAGGAAGGCCGGUGGCGAAGGCGGCUUCCUG
rnacentral:rRNA from 1 species